CCCCUUACCUGGCAGGGGACAGAACGUGGUCAGGAAGGGGGUUCUCCCUGGACGAGGCUAGUCCACUGCACUUCGGCCACACUGACCCCUGCAAUUUCCCCACACCGGCCCUCGAAGGCCAUGGUGUUUGUGCCAC
rnacentral:snRNA from 1 species